rnacentral:rRNA from 1 species
CAAUAGCGUAUAUUAAAGUUGUUGCAGUUAAAAAGCUCGUAGUUGGAUUUCGGGACGGUCCGGCUGGUCCGCCGCAAGGCGUGUUACUGACCGGGCUGUCCUUCUUUGCAAAGGCUGCAUGUGCUCUUAACUGAGUGUGUGUAGGAUUUGUGACGUUUACUUUGAAAAAAUUAGAGUGUUCAAAGCAGGCCAGCGCUUGAAUACAUAAGCAUGGAAUAAUGGAAUAGGACUUUGGUUCUAUUUUGUAGGUUUCUGGAACCGAAGUAAUGAUUAAAAGGGACAGUUGGGGGCAUUCGUAUUUCGUCGCUAGAGGUGAAAUUCUUAGAUUGACGAAAGACAAACUGCUGCGAAAGCGUCUGCCAAGGAUGUUUUCAUUGA